rnacentral:lncRNA from 1 species
GAUACGAUGUAUUCGAUACUUUAUUAUAACAUAUACAGAACUUUUAAAAAUUAAUGGUAAGAAAAACAAAUUUGAAUUUAUAUUUUCUUGUGAAGAAUGGGAUAUAUCUAUUAUCAUUGUUUAUAACAGUAUUAGUGUAUUAUAUAAUGGGAGAAGCAACGAUAAUGUCAAUAAAUGAACUGUGUAAGAUUUGUGACUAAUAUUUCAAAGUGAUAUAUAUAAUCAAGAUAUGUUGAAAUGAUAACUUUAAAGAAGAAGCAUGUUGUCUU